rnacentral:rRNA from 1 species
AGUGAACGCUGGCGGUAGGCCUAACACAUGCAAGUCGAACGGCAGCACAGUAAGAGCUUGCUCUUACGGGUGGCGAGUGGCGGACGGGUGAGGAAUACAUCGGAAUCUACUUUUUCGUGGGGGAUAACGUAGGGAAACUUACGCUAAUACCGCAUACGACCUACGGGUGAAGGCAGGGGAUCUUCGGACCUUGCGCGAUUGAAUGAGCCGAUGUCGGAUUAGCUAGUUGGCGGGGUAAAGGCCCACCAAGGCGACGAUCCGUAGCUGGUCUGAGAGGAUGAUCAGCCACACUGGAACUGAGACACGGUCCAGAGUCCUACGGGAGGCAGCAGUGGGGAAUAUUGGACAAUGGGCGCAAGCCUGAUCCAGCCAGACCGCGUGGGUGAAGAAGGCCUUCGGGUUGUAAAGCCCUUUUGUUGGGAAAGAAAAGCAGCAGGUUAAUACCCCGCUGUUCUGACGGUACCCAAAGAAUAAGCACCGGCUAACUUCGUG